AGUGAACGCUGGCGGUAGGCCUAACACAUGCAAGUCGAACGGCAGCACAGUAAGAGCUUGCUCUUACGGGUGGCGAGUGGCGGACGGGUGAGGAAUACAUCGGAAUCUACUUUUUCGUGGGGGAUAACGUAGGGAAACUUACGCUAAUACCGCAUACGACCUACGGGUGAAAGCAGGGGAUCUUCGGACCUUGCGCGAUUGAAUGAGCCGAUGUCGGAUUAGCUAAUUGGCGGGGUAAAGGCCCACCAAGGCGACGAUCCGUAGCUGGUCUGAGAGGAUGAUCAGCCACACUGGAACUGAGACACGGUCCAGACUCCUACGGGAGGCAGCAGUGGGGAAUAUUGGACAAUGGGCGCAAGCCUGAUCCAGCCAUACCGCGUGGGUGAAAAAGGCCUUCGGGUUGUAAAGCCCUUUUGUUGGGAAAGAAAAGCAGCAGGUUAAUACCCCGCUGUCCUGACGGUACCCAAAGAAUAAGCACCGGCUAACUUCGUG
rnacentral:rRNA from 1 species